AGCACUGUGUUCUGGAGCAUUUGGAUGUGGGGAAAUCGGAUUGUGGAUUGAAAUCCUCAAAGAUCGUCGCCAAGGCAAGACAAGCAGCAGGAAAGAGAACAUAGACAUGCUCAUGGGUAUCAGAGUCUAUCCUGAGCUGAGCAAGAGAAUUUGUGUUGUCUGAAGAAAGAGACCCGUGAAAGGAGUUCAGAGCUGCUCACACUUGGAGCAUCCAUGGAACAAGUCACAUGUUUACUGGGCUUGAAGCCCCCCUUAUAGGUUUGAGAGGUUGAGAGCCCCUCGGGUCCUCAGUCACUCCUGGAAGAUCUCCCAAGAGCUAAUCUAAUGCUCCCUGGAGAAGAUGGAGAAUCAGCCCAGCUCCUGGUCAGGUUUUCCAGAAGACACAGACUGGAAGGAUUUAGUUGAGCAGUGCAGAAUGGAGGUGAAGGUGAAAUGCUGAUUCAG